AUUGAACGCUGGCGGCAUGCUUUACACAUGCAAGUCGAACGGUAACGCGGGGCAACCUGGCGACGAGUGGCGAACGGGUGAGUAAUGCAUCGGAACGUGCCCGGUAGUGGGGGAGAACUGCUCGAAAGAGCAGCUAAUACCGCAUACGACCUGAGGGUGAAAGGGGGGGAUCGCAAGACCUCUCGCUAUUGGAGCGGCCGAUGUCGGAUUAGCUAGUUGGUGGGGUAAGGGCCCACCAAGGCGACGAUCCGUAGCUGGUCUGAGAGGACGACCAGCCACACUGGGACUGAGACACGGCCCAGACUCCUACGGGAGGCAGCAGUGGGGAAUUUUGGACAAUGGACGCAAGUCUGAUCCAGCCAUGCCGCGUGCGGGAAGAAGGCCUUCGGGUUGUAAACCGCUUUUGUCAGAGAAGAAAUCUUCUGGGUUAAUACCUCGGGAGGAUGACGGUAUCUGAAGAAUAAGCACCGGCUAACUACGUGCCAGCCGCCGCGGUAAAAC
rnacentral:rRNA from 1 species